rnacentral:rRNA from 1 species
AUGAGCAGCUCCGUGCUCUUCUGGUACUUGCGGAUCUCGCGGAGCGCGACGGUGCCGGGGCGGAAGCGGUGCGGCUUCUUCACGCCGCCGGUGGCCGGGGCGGACUUGCGCGCCGCCUUGGUCGCCAGCUGCUUCCGCGGCGCCUUGCCGCCGGUGGACUUCCUCGCCGUCUGCUUCGUGCGGGCCAUCGGGGCGGGCAGGCGGGCGCGGCGGGCUCAGGGUUGA